rnacentral:rRNA from 1 species
CGAGUCCCACAGCUCCAACAGCACGAGAAAGCCUCAAGUCGGGCGCCACCUGAAGACGGGCGGCAACCACGUGAGCGGCAACCUCAACCUGGCAGUCAGCCCUUCUCUGGGAACCCCGGACGAACAGCCGCCAAGCCCUCCAUACGGAGCGCCAAAGGGAAGCCCCUCGGGCUCCACUGCAUGUCGGCCGGCAGCACCAGGGCCAAAAGAAAGUCCACGCAAACCUACAGACAAGCAGGCCUUACCCUUCCGCGUCAGAGGGGCAGCACCCUCCAGCUCGGCCAGGACGCCAACGCGACGGGCCACCCUGAGCACGAGGCAAGAGAGAGGCAAUGGAGCACACGCCUCGUCCCACGCCGCGCCGGGCGGCCACUACCACAGGGAGCCCCGGACGCAAGGUACGGAGACGCAGAUCCACUGACCGCUUCUCAGCAAUGGGACACG